UAGAAUAAAUUCCUUUAUAUCCUAAUUAUUUAUUUAUAUUUGUGUCCACGAAUCAUCAAUCCCAUCAGUGAUUUUUACUUUGCCUUGGGUUGGUUGAGAUUUUAUUUUCAUUCCUUACCAUCUAAAAGGCUAGUGAUCAUUUUUUCUUGUCAUUGCCACACUUUUCAAUGUUGUUAUGAGAGAUUAAUAAAUAAAUGUUAGAAAUCCUUGGAUAAAAGGUACAAUAAAAGUGUGAACUAUUAUCUUUAACUCUGUCUCUCGGGCAUAUAGUAAAGAUUAAUUAGAUAAGCUUAAGAAAGUGCUAUAAUUGGUAGAAGGAAUUAUCAAAACCCCAGGGAAGGAACAGCUUUGUGUUUGAGGCAUUUGAAAUUGUUCUGAUCUUAAUAGCCAAUGAAUGAACAAUUUCUAAUCUCUAAAGUGUCUCAGGCCAGAUUCCCAGGGAUGGUCCAGACCAGUUCCUAUCAGACAUAAUGUGUGACUGGGGGCAAAAUAAUGAAAAUUUAUGAUAAUAAACUAGGACACAGCUAUGGUUGACAUUCUUGUGAAAUUGAAUAGUAGCUGUCCUAAGCAUGAUUCAAACAACUGCUCCAUAGGUGAUGAGGGGAGACAGAGGUGAGCAGAAGGUAAGCCUGGCAGUUAAACUGUCCUGGAUUCUAGCUAGAGAUCAAAGAGCAGCUGGUCCCAAGUACUUAUUGAAUAGCCACUAAAGACAGGAAAAAAUAAAAAGGAAAGGCAUUGGACCAAAAAACUGAAAGGUCACUCUCCUGUGACUUAUGUUGGACCACUCACAUGACAUAAAGCUAACAGUCUGGGGACACAGAAAUUGUUUGGUGUCCUGCCUGCCUGCAGUGUCUCAUCACCAGAGCAUGCCAGAGCCAACUCAAAGGACUCUGAAGGGAACAGAAUGGAAUUAUUAUAAACACAGGCCAAUUUGCCAAAUGCAAUCCUAAAAAUUAAAUGAGUCUGACAGUGGAGGAUGGAAAUCAGGAACACUGAUCAGUUUGGUUUUCCUCUAGCCCAGAUGGUAAAAUCACAGCAAUUAAGGUAAGAGUGACUGCUAGGGGACAUCAAGCCACAAUGUUUU
rnacentral:lncRNA from 1 species